AUGGCAAAACAAUUACGGGUUCCCCUCUAAAUAUGGAGGCAUUUUAUGAAGGGGUCGACGUCUUAUGAUGCAUUCACCGAAAUAGGGAAUGCGACUGAAGCAAGAAUCUCAUGCGAGGCACGGGCCACUUUCACCAACCACUCUGAACAUGUGCCGUCACUUUCACCUACCACUCGGAUAGUGUGUAUGGCACGGGCCUAAUUCACCUACCACUCGAAUAAGGGACUACGUGUCCAUCGUGGAUUUUCGUUGCACCAAUUCGACUAAUCGCACACACGAGUUGCUAACCCUCGUUGGUGUACGAACUAGAACUCAAAAAGAUGGAGGCUUCGCAACACUUCAAGCCUCGGCACGUCCGACCGAUGCCCGCAACUACCCAACUCGGCACUGUGUGACGAAGCCGGCACCUCGACAAGAGGGACUCACGCAUCAAGAAAUCCGAGUUGGUCCGCGAGGAACUGUCGAAGCCAUUGAUGCAUCCCCGGUAAGUCCUACGUGCCCAGACAACACAAAGCCAAAGCACCAGCCUGCACCUGGCCGCGUGCGACCGAGAUUCGGCAUGGGAGAUGACUCAAUCGAAUUGCCCACAACGCCAUGGAAAAACGCACCAGCAUGCCUGGGGCAGCUUGCUGGGGCGUUGGGGGGGAGUCCCAUAGCAUGCCAUCCUGACCCACCAAGGUGCAUGGGCAGGCAGGCUGCUUCCCCCCUAUAGUAGGCUAAUAUGCAAAAACCCACUCUACACCAGCGGACAUCCUUUUCUUUGGGAAGACAUACUGGGUUUUUUUAGGCUAGAGGUCGAAUUUUGCCCUGAUGUUUUGCACACAUGCUUAUAAGAAUGGGAGCUAGUGGUCCACAAAGUUUCAAGAUUUUUCUCCAAGCCGAUAAUUUUUCGUAAUUUUUCUAAGCGGCGAGCUUUACAUAAUUCCCAAAAAUUAGAUGACGAGUGUGUACCAUGUUUUUUGAGCUGUUCUUUUGCAGGAAUGCUAGCAGCAUUAAUCCUAAAAAUUUCCCAAAGUUACGCCCAUGUAACAUCGUGGCAUUUACCUCAAAUGAUUUUCCACCGAGGUGCGGGACAUGCGGUGGUGCCAUGACGGGCAACAUCGCCUAGGGGUUGAAUUCUAACGUGAAACUUUGGUGGCAACCAUGGCUAAACAAUUACGGGUUCCCCUCCAAAUAUGGAGGCAUUUCAGGAAGGGGCCGGCGUCUUACGAUGCUUUCACCGAAAUAGAGAAUGCGAGAUAAGCAAGAAUCUCACACGAGGCACGGGUCAUGGCAUGGGUCACUUUCACCAAGCACUCGGACCAUGUGCCAUGGCAUGGGUCACUUUCAUCUAGCACUCAGAACUUGUGCCAUGGAAUGGGUCACUUUCACCUAACACUUGGAACGUGUGCCACGAAAUGGGUCACUUUCACCUAGCACUCGGAAAGUGUGUAAUGGCCUCAAUUUCACCUAGUAGCACUCGGAAACAUUGUGUCAUGGCCUCUCUUUCACCUUCACUCGGGAUCACGCACGAGGAACCACACCAUGCACAAAGCACCCCAACCACCGGACACCAUUAACCACACCCAAGGCACCAUGGGGCAUGCAUGGCCAGAGGCGAUGCCGCACUCCACAUUGUAAGUGACUUUGUGUCUACUGUGUGCUUGCGGAACGCGAACUUUGCACCUACUCGCCUCGUCGCCCAUACAAGGUGCGGGUUCGCAACCCUCGUAGGGUGUACAACCUAGCUCGGAAAAAGGUUUGAGAUGGGAGGGACGAAUCGAAGCGACAAGGGCUGAAUCUCAGUGGAUCGUGGCAGCAAGGCCACUCUGCCACUUACAAUACCCCGUCGCGUAUUUAAGUCGUCUGCAAAGGAUUCUACCCGCCGCCCAGUGGGGAAUAGCGCUUCAAGGCGUCCCGCGAGGCUCGUCCACCCCGCGGGGGUCACCAACGGCACGUGCCUCUGGGGGGCCGAGGCCCCCUACUGCUGGUCGGCAAACGGGCGACGGGCACACGCAUCGCUUCUAGCCCGGAUUCUGACUUAGAGCCGUUCAAUCAUAAUACAACGCACGGUAGCUUCGCGCCACUGGCUUUUCAACCAAGCGUGAUGACCAAUUGUGCGAAUCAACGGUUCCUCUCGUACUAGGUUGAAUUACUAUUGCGACACUGUCAUCAGUAGGGUAAAACUAACCUGUCUCACGACGGUCUAAACCCAGCUCAA
rnacentral:lncRNA from 1 species